rnacentral:tRNA from 1 species
GCCUCGGUAGCUCAGCGGAUAGAGCACCGCUCUGUCGAAGCCGGAGGUCGGAGGUUCGAAUCCUCCCCGAGGCACCA